rnacentral:rRNA from 1 species
CCCUUAGAUGUUCUUGGCCGCACGCGCGCUACACUGUUUGAUUCAGCGAGUCUUAACCUUGACCGAAAGGUUUGGGUAAUCUUCUAAAGUCAAACGUGAUGGGGAUCGAUCAUUGCAAUUAUUGAUCGUGAACGAGGAAUUCCUAGUAAAUGCAAGUCAUCAGCUUGCGUUGAUUACGUCCCUGCCCUUUGUACACACCGCCCGUCGCUACUACCGAUUGAAUGGUUUAGUGAGAUCUCCGGAUUGGCUCUGUAGGUCCCGCAAGGGAUUUAUUAGUAGCCAAGAAGCUGCUCAAACUUGAUCAUUUAGAGGAAGUAAAAGUCGUAACA